rnacentral:rRNA from 1 species
CAGCAGCCGCGGGAAUACGUAGGGUGCAAGCGUUAAUCGGAAUUACUGGGCGUAAAGCGUGCGCAGGCGGUUAUAUAAGACAGAUGUGAAAUCCCCGGGCUCAACCUGGGAACUGCAUUUGUGACUGUAUAGCUAGAGUACGGCAGAGGGGGAUGGAAUUCCGCGUGUAGCAGUGAAAUGCGUAGAUAUGCGGAGGAACACCAAUGGCGAAGGCAAUCCCCUGGGCCUGUACUGACGCUCAUGCACGAAAGCGUGGGGAGCAAACAGGAUUAGAUACCCCAGUAGUCCCUGUCUCUUAUAC